UCUCGGCGCCAUUUUGUCUGGGCAGCGGUGGACGCAGGUCUACCGCAUUUUAUGUUUCUGGCGAGACAAGAGCGGAAUCUUCUUCCCGUGGAUUCAUUUAACUGCGGCAACCAUCCACCGUUCCCUCCAGGACAGCACCUAGUGAAGAUCGGAAGAGUAGCGAUCUAUCAGAAAGUUGGUCUGAAGAAAACAGGACAGUUAAGUGACAAACAUCCGGAAGUAUUACUGAGAGGAAGCCUCGCUUUGUGGAAAUAUGAAGGAAAGUGUUCCAGUUUUUAAAUGACUUGGAUCUGCUCUCUGUUGAAAUUGUAUUUCUGCUCCCUGGCUCUUUGUCCACCCUCAUGUUGGAAAUGGUGAGAGAACUGAUGCUGAAUCAUAAGUAUGAUCCAUUUUAGACAUCUAAAUUUUUGCAUUGAAUCUUUACUAUCACUUGGUUGCUGCUGACUCCUAAACCAGUCGGUCUACUAAAGGUUCCUUUGAGAAUGACAGAAAUGAAAGCAAAUGGAUAGUCUUAUCAGAUAAGUGCUUUUUUAUCUGAAUGUAUUCGGUUUUUUCCAUAAGAUGGCUUUAGUAGCACUUAGUUGUCUUUAACUUCAUUCGAAACAAUUUUGUUAGAUUGUAUUGUGACAGCUGUCAUAUCAGCGUGCAUAUUAAAAAAAUAUUAAAAUUGGUGAAUUUUUGUGUAGCCAUUUUAAUAUUGAAGAUGGAAGGAAAAAAAGCAACAACAUAUUAUGCUUUAUUAUUUUAAGAAAGGUAAAAACACAACUGAAAGGCAAAAAAAGAUUUGUGCAGUGUAUGGAAAAGGUGCUGUGACUGAACGUGUCAAAAGUGGUUUGCAAAGUUUUGUGGUAGAGAUUUCUGGCUGGGCGAUGCUCCAUGGUCGGGGAGACCAGUUCAAGUUGAUAGCAGUCAAAUCGAGACAUAAAUUUCAAAACAGUCAACAUUAUACCACGCAGGAGAUAAGCCGACAAACUCAAAAUCUCCAAAUGAGGUGUUGAAAAUCAUUUGCACCAGCUUGGUUAUGUUAAUCGCUUUGAUGUUUGGGUUCCACGUAAGUUAAGCGAAAGAAACCUUCUUGACCAUAUUUCCGCAUUGCGAUUCUCUACUUAAACAUAACGAAAACAUUCCGUUUUUAAAAACAAAUUGUGACGGGCAAUGAAAAUUGGAUACUGUACAAUAAUGUGGAAUAGAAGAGAUGUUACAGAAGAACCCGAACGAACAUUUUUGGCCAACCCAAUAUCAUUUGUAAUGUCUAAACCAAAAUUCUAUUCUUUAAAACGUUUGUAAUUUUUUUUCCUAGGUACCAGUAUCGAGGUUUACAGUAAUAAGAUGCUCAAAGUCCGGCAACACCCUGCUGCUAAACUCAGUGACCUCAGGAAAGCAUGACAGUUGAAUGGAGUGAUACUGGCAUGAGGCCAAUAAAGGGUGUGUGUAUACCUGGCAUGCUUGGCCUGAGUUCAGACUGUUUCUUCAAUACUCAUUCUUCCACUCAGUUCUGUUUCCACAUGUAUUCUAAUUUAUGUUUAAGCAUAAAAUGUGGGUAUUUUUAUUUCAACUUUACAGAUCAAGAAAUUCUUUAAGUGACAGGACAGGGACUUUGUGAAUCCUUAAAUCCACUCCUCAAAGUAAAAAACAAAAUUCUAAAGGUUAACAGUGGCUGAUGAUCAACAGUCAUCUCACUAAAUGCAAAACUGGGCAGUGGCAUCAAUCGCCUACGAAGUUGGUAGGUACUUUUUACACAACAGCCCAGCAGGAUAUGAUCUUUAGGUUAUAGAUGAGUGAAGAAAUGGAGUUUUGAAUUUAUCUGAUUCCAAAGCAUCUGUCUGCAGUAUUUUA